UAAUGGUUCACCUCGAAAAGAUCGAAUG
rnacentral:piRNA from 1 species